CCGACGAUAGCUUAUUUGGUAGAGUAGAGAGCGGUCGAGUACACUGCUGUGCAGCGGUCCUUACUUCGAUGGUUCGAAUCCACCUCGUCGGA
rnacentral:tRNA from 1 species